rnacentral:lncRNA from 1 species
CUUUUCUAAACCUUCUGACCCUGGGCCCUGUGGUGCUGGAGUUGAUGUUCUACCAAGCAGAGGACCGCUGACAGUGCCAGACAGAGAGGGUGGUUGUCCUUGGCAGCUGAGCUGUAAGUAGCUUUUUGUCAAAUCCUCUUGAGAAGGUUCUAUCCUAAAGUUUUUUUUUUUUUUUAAAUUGUUGUUGUUU